CAGUAGCCGCGGUAAUACGAGGGGUGCAAGCGUUAUUCGGAUUGAUUGGGUGUAAAGGGUGUGCAGACGGCUUAUUAAGUCACUUGUUAAAUUCUUCGGCCUAACUGAAGGUCUGCAAGUGAUACUGAUGAGCUAGAGGGUGGAAGAGAGAAGUGGAAUUCUCGGAGUAGCGGUAAAAUGCGUAGAUCUCGAGAGGAACACCAAUGGCGAAGGCAGCUUCUUGGCCCAUUCCUGACGUUCAUACACGAAAGCGUGGGGAGCGAACAGGAUUAGAUACCCGCGUAGUCCCUGUCUCUUAUAC
rnacentral:rRNA from 1 species